GGGGUUGUGGCUCAGCGGUAGAGCGCUUGCCUAGCAUGUGCAAGACUCUGGGUUCGUUCCUCAGCACCA
rnacentral:tRNA from 1 species